CUAAUUUGUACCAGGCCUUGAAUUGAUUGUUCUUCCUGCAUCAGCUCGUUUAAUUAUUACACUGAUCCUAUGUGGUGGGCAUGCUCAGUUAGUUCCAUUACUCGAGGAACUUAGGCUUGAACCAUCACACACCACAAGCCUGAACCCCAUGGUCAACCUGCCUGAAGCCCUGAUGACAGCCAGGAGUGAACCCUGGAUGAUCCGACAUCAAAGUUCGAACCACCACAGGCAUCGCCACCUUUUCUGGGUGAGGUUGCUCAUGAAAAGGGAUCCAACAAAAAUACAAGACUGCCACCUUUGCCUCCUCAUCCAGGACAGAGCAACUCUCCCUUUCCUUCUUGCAACAAAGGAGGCAAAACACACCCUCCCACCACCAUCCCUCAACUGAGCCAAGUGACGGAGGUCAGCAGUGCAAUUGUUUUGCUUAUAGGGAGGGACUCUGAAUUCGGUCAGUAGGUCACCUGCCCUCUCGGCCUGCACUCAGCUCCAUGCUGCCCAAACCCCUGUGAGUUUCCGUUUCAGAAUACUUCAGGCUUCAGCCAGCACAAACAUGUCACAGCAAGAGGGACAGUGAUUGUGUUUGUACACGCUAUUAGGAUAAGCACAAGCUUUAUUUGAUCUUCUUUUUUCAUAUUAAAAAAAUCUUUAUUAUUGCAUUACAACCAGAGGAAUUUAAUCUUUGACCUGCAGUUUCCCUCCUCUUGGUAAUAUAAAACCUCCAUUUCCAAUGAAGAGGAAAGGCUUGAUGGAAUUUUCUUCUCUGCCUUCAUUCCUAGGGGUGAGGUAAUUGACUAACAACACCUUUAGAAACAGUUUUAUACCAACUAAAAUAACAGAAAGGGGUCUUUGUAACAUGGAGGCAAGCAACGAAAACUCCUAGCAAAAUAAUGCAGAGAAAUAAUGAUUAGAAGGGAUCAGUAUCUAUGGAAGGAAGGUAGGUGGACCUUGCCAGUGUGUCACCCCAAGCCCACACCCUGUUGCUCUAUCUUCCUUCCAAUGGGCAGAAUGGUAGGAACUGGAUGCUCUGCAAUUGCCCUGUGUCCUCCUCAAACUUACAUUGAAAUCCUAACCCCCAAGUUGAUGGUGUUUGGAGGCGGGGCCCUUUGGAGGUCAUUAGGCCAUGGGGGAGGCAAGUUUGUAAAUGGGAUUCAUGCCCUUACAAAAGACCGCAGAAAGAUCCUACCCACCUUGUGAGGGUGGAAGGAGAAGACAGCUGUCCCCGAGGAAGCCAGU
rnacentral:lncRNA from 1 species